AUUGAACGCUGGCGGCAGGCCUAACACAUGCAAGUCGAACGAGUGGCGGACGGGUGAGUAAUGUCUGGGAAACUGCCUGAUGGAGGGGGAUAACGACUGGAAACGGUAGCUAAUACCGCUUACCAUCAGAUGGGCCCAGGUGGGAUUAGCUAGUUGGUGGGGUAACGGCUCACCAAGGCGACGAUCCCUAGCGGGUCUGAGAGGAUGACCGGCCACACUGGAACUGAGACACGGUCCAGACUCCUACGGGAGGCAGCAGUGGGGAAUCUUGCACAAUGGGCGCAAGCCUGAUGCAGCAAUGCCGCGUGUAUGAAGAAGGUCUUCGGGUUGUAAAGUACUUUUAGCGGGGAGGCGUUACCCGCAGAAGAAGCACCGGCUAACUCCGUGCCAGCCGCCGCGGUAAUUC
rnacentral:rRNA from 1 species